rnacentral:rRNA from 1 species
GAGUUUGAUCGUGGCUCAGGAUGAACGCUGGCGGCGUGCCUAAUACAUGCAAGUCGAGCGAACAGACGAGGAGCUUGCUCCUCUGACGUUAGCGGCGGACGGGUGAGUAACACGUGGAUAACCUACCUAUAAGACUGGGAUAACUUCGGGAAACCGGAGCUAAUACCGGAUAAUAUAUUGAACCGCAUGGUUCAAUAGUGAAAGACGGUUUUGCUGUCACUUAUAGAUGGAUCCGCGCCGCAUUAGCUAGUUGGUAAGGUAACGGCUUACCAAGGCAACGAUGCGUAGCCGACCUGAGAGGGUGAUCGGCCACACUGGAACUGAGACACGGUCCAGACUCCUACGGGAGGCAGCAGUAGGGAAUCUUCCGCAAUGGGCGAAAGCCUGACGGAGCAACGCCGCGUGAGUGAUGAAGGUCUUCGGAUCGUAAAAACUCUGUUAUUAGGGAAGAACAAAUGUGUAAGUAACUAUGCACGUCUUGACGGUACCUAAUCAGAAAGCCACGGCUAACUACGUGCCAGCCG